UACGUAGGCAGCGAGCGUUGUUCGGAAUUACUGGGCGUAAAGCGUGUGUAGGCGGUGCUCCCAGUCUGUUGUGAAAUCUCCCGGCUUAACUGGGAGGGUGCAGCGGAAACUAGAGUGCUAGAGGGUGGGAGAGGUAAGCGGAAUUCCUGGUGUAGCGGUGAAAUGCGUAGAUAUCAGGAGGAACACCUGUGGUGUAGACAGCUUACUGGACCACUUCUGACGCUGAGACACGAAAGCGUGGGUAGCAAACAGG
rnacentral:rRNA from 1 species